AACGCAAAUUGCGCUCGAGGCUUCGGCCAAGAGCAUGUCUGCCUCAGCGUCGGGUUAAAACUCACACUACCCAACAGGGUAUGUUGUGGAACUGGCUGUCUCAGCAUAUGCACAUGUGCAUGCUCUGGGUCAGCUGAAGUGCAGAUGUCAACACAUGGACCCGCUAAUGGGCCUCUACUGGGUAGGCAAUUUAUUGCUACAUGCUUUAGUAGAUGGCUUAGGAUCUGUGACGUCGACACAAAACAGGAGCAUGCCUUGUGUGUGCUAUACAUGUACUUUUAUCUCGACCUGAGCUCAGGCAAGAUUACCCGCUGAACUUAA
rnacentral:misc_RNA from 1 species